rnacentral:lncRNA from 1 species
UAUAAUCAUGGGAAUUGUCCUCCUUUUCUCCACCAGACAUUUGUUAAAGGCCUUCUACACCCCAAUUACUGUGUUGAGCCUUCCUGUAAGAUGAAGAUGAGCAUCCUUAGUGCUGAGCCUGAAGGGACUUCUAAGGAAGAGGCCAAAAGGAACCUGCCAAUGGCAGAUGAUAUCCCAGUAGCAGAUGGGGCUGACCAAGACAAUAAGGAGGAUCCCUUGAAUUGCUAAGUCUGGGAAUCCAGAGAAGGUGAUUUGAGUAAGGCCUGUGUGAGGAUGGUUGCUUUACAAGACCAAGCAGACCACAGGUGUAGUGAAGCUGCCCCAGAUCCUUCACGAGGACAUGGCGUCCAGUAGCCCAGGAUUCCUCAGGGAAGAAACACCUAAAUCCUUGGGAAAGAAGGGAAAUGUGAGUACAUGAUUUACUGUCUGUGUUAAAAACUCUCAUGACCAGGAGAUAGUACUGGGACAUGAUGUUGGCAAGUCCCCUCUGUGUACUGUGGGCCAGAAGCAGCUUCUGUGAGAGCAAUGGUACCAGAUCAGUGGAUAGAGUGCAGGGAAAGGUGUGAGGAGCUGCCUGUUACUACCUGUCUCCAGUGCCAUCUUGAUUAGCACCAAAAAAUGCCUUGUGUUAGGGAGCUAGAGAAUCCAUGCUGAAUGAAUUUUUUA